rnacentral:misc_RNA from 1 species
AAAACCCCGAAGCCAAAUGGGAUAGAAAACGGAAAUGCUUUGCGCUAAUGUCGCUCCCUUGCCCAACUACAGUUGCCCCAUCCCAGCUUCUCCUCACAUCCUUCCCUGUCGUUCCCAUCACAGACUAAAAUCUAAUUCUGUUUCCCUUCCUAAAUCCCGCGGUCACUCCAAAAACAUAUCUUCCCUAACUCUCCUUACCGCAAGCAAUUGCAAUCACAAAGACCAAGAUAAUCACCAUACCAGCAAAAGCACAAGCUACUCACAUCCAAGAUACAGUCUUUCUUUAUUUGAUCAAUUCCGAUCUUUCAUUGACAGUAACUCCAUCACUGACCAAAACCCAAAAACCCGAAACCAAGAACAAAGAGAGAAAAGGGAAGAAAAACAAGAUUCCCGUAUCAAGAAACCCAAACGACUUUUCACAAACAUGUGGUGGGUAGAUUUGAAAGCGGCGUUGGGCCAACGAAUCAACGUUGAAGGGAUUGUUUCUUCGAUGGCAGUGUUGGUUAAAGAGCAGCAUUUGGCUCUCCCGCACGUAGCAGUGCGUGAUAUAAGGUACAUUGAUUGGGCAGAGCUGCAUAAAAGAGGUUUUAAGGGUGUUGUCUUUGAUAAGGAUAAUACAAUCACAGUGCCUUACACUUUGACACUGUGGGGUCCUCUUGGUUUAUCGAUAGAGCAGUGUAAAUCGGUUUUUGGCAAUGAUCUCGCUGUGUUUAGUAACUCAGCUGGUAAUUUUGGCAGGCCCUUUUGUAAUGUUAUCUUGUUAUUGUUGCUGGUGAUUCUUUCAAUUGAUAAUUUAUUGCGUUGUGUGUUAUUGGCUUGAUGAGUUAGGCCUAUACGAGUAUGAUCAUGAUGGUUCCAAAGCCAGGGCACUCGAGAAGGCAAUUGGGAUCAAAGUCAUAAGGCAUAGUAUGUUUUUCGUUGCCUAUUGAAGCUGUUAUCCUGAAGCAAAACUUUAUACUUAUACGCUUCAUAGUUUGAUUCAUUAUCAAAACCAUAAAACUGCUUGAGAUUCCGUAUGACUAAUUUAUUCAUCUUUUUCUUGGUAAACAUGCCAAAACUGCUACUCUCGAUGCCCCAAAGUGCCUAAUUUAUGUAAUAUUGAUACUUGUUCACUCAUUUCUUCUCAUUAAACUUAGGGGUUAAGAAACCAGCUGGAACAGCUGAAGAAAUCGAAAAGCACUUUGGGUGUAAAUCAUCGGAACUUAUCAUGGUAGGUGAUCGACCCUUCACAGAUGUUGUUUAUGGAAACCGGAAUGGCUUUUUGACCAUAUUAACAGAGCCAUUGAGUGUUGCUGAGGAGCCAUUCAUCGUUAGGCAGGUUGGUCUUUUCCUCUUUCAUGCAUAAAUGUCGAAUUUUUUUUUUCCAUAUUUCUUGACAAUUGUGAUGAACCAAGCUGCUAUAUUACUUACUGCAUUUCAACUGAUUAAAGGAAUUUUAGCAGGAGCACUAAUUAAUAACUUAAAAUGCCCAAAUUUAGUGUCUUUGACUAGGGAUUUGUUCACAUUGUUUCUCAAGAUAAUAUUCAGUAUAUAUCUACAUUUAGUUCUUUAAUGAACUUACAUAACUAACAAAUAUAAUAUUUAUGUUUCUUUGAUUCAGUUUUCUUGGUCAUGAGGCCUUUUUUUAUGUUUGAUUUUGCAUCCAUUAUUGGCACUGAAAGUUCUCUUAAGCUGCCAUGGAAAAUAAAAUAAAGUUUAUGAAUGUUGAAAAGAUAGUCGUAACUUAUGAUGAGAGUUUAUUUAUGUUGAGAGUGACCUAUGUUUAUUUAAAUUCUUGAAAUGCACAUUAGACUAGUCAAGAUCUGGGAAAAACCAUACUGGGAACUUUGGGUUCAUGGUGAUUGAAAAAAUGUUCACAGGUGAGGAAACUAGAAGUGUCACUUACCAACUAUUGGUUUCGAAGAGGAUUGAAGCCAAUUAGUCACAGUCUACCGAUAGAUGCUGAGCAAUGUGUAAGAGAUCCACCACCUUUGUAAAAAAGUCGAUAUAUGCAACAUUACAAUUGUAGCUGCUAAUUUUUUUGAAUGAGUCCUGUCUUAUUUAUUUGUUUCUUUUAUUUGUUGUUAUAAAAUUUUUAAGAUUGACAGCAAUCUUAAUAUGAAAUCCAAUUUUGUAUUGACAGAGUACCUAUUCUGAUAGAAUGACGAUGUUUCUUCACGUAAUGAUAUGUAGCGCAGAUUCAUUGCUCCUUUGAAAAGUCACUCAUAUGUAUAUCUUAUGCAGUUUCAUUAUUGUUAUCAUUAUUUUAAAUUGUCAUUACAUUGAAAGAUUUACUUGCAGAGUGAGAAGAAAUGAUUGUCUCUGAAUUUGCUCGUAAAUUGACAGUUAGGAUCUAAAAGUUUAGUCCAUGAAUAUGAGGAAGUAUUUUAUACAUACAGAUGUCUAACAUGUUCUAUUUUGUAUUUUUGGAGGUGGUUUUGUGAAAGAACACAUUUGGGUAAACCUGUUUCUAACCUAUU